AUGUCGUCUGAGUACUAUAUAAUAGUUAAAACUUUCAACAACGGAUCUCUUGGUUCUGGCAUCGAUGAAGAACGCAGCGAAAUGCGAUAAGUAAUGUGAAUUGCAGAAUUCAGUGAAUCAUCGAAUCUUUGAACGCACAUUGCGCCCCUUGGUAUUCCGG
rnacentral:rRNA from 1 species